rnacentral:sRNA from 1 species
AGAGCCGUAUGGGGCUGUACCGUCGGUUUUGGGURRUAAAUCGUCCUGCACUCCCMCUAAAUGUCCGGCCAVCGUCGGUUUGGUUUGGCUCUUGCGGACGGUCGGGUAGGUACCUCACUGUGCGGUUUCGGCGUGCGCAGGGAGAACUUAAAGCCGGUCGUUUUUUUGCAGUUGAACGUAGCGRACCGAGGAGACGUGUGCCAAUUCACACAGGCAGAGCAUGCCCGCCGUUUCUGCGGUGGGCCGGACCGCUUCUAAUCGUUGAGUAGGCGCUGCUGGGACUGUUUGCCAGUGCCAGUUGACGCUUUGUUCUCCGGGUUGGGAGGCCGGUCGCGCCUU